rnacentral:rRNA from 1 species
GGACGGGGGAGGCCACCACAACGAGGUGGAGCCUGCGGUUUAAGUCGGACUCAACGCCGGGAAACUCACCAGAUAAGACAGCUGAAUGAUAGUCGGGCUGAAGACUCUACUUGACUAGCUGAGAGGAGGUGCAUGGCCGUCGUCAGUUCGUACUGUGAAGCAUCCUGUUAAGUCAGGCAACGAGCCGAGACCCACGCCAACAGUUGCCAGCUCGUCCUCCGGGAUGGUGGGGACACUGUUGGGACCGCCUCUGCUAAAGAGGAGGAAGGAAUGGGCAACGGUAGGUCAGCAUGCCCCGAAUUAUCUGGGCUACACGCGGGCUACAAUGGGUGGGACAAUGGGUAUCGACACCGAAAGGUGAAGGCAAUCUCCUAAAACCCAUCCGUAGUUCGGAUUGUGGGCUGCAACUCCGCCCACAUGAAGCUGGAAUCUGUAGUAAUCGUGUCUCAAAAUGGCACGGUGAAUAUGUCCCUGCUCCUU